CCUACGGGAGGCAGCAGUGGGGAAUAUUGGACAAUGGGGGGAACCCUGAUCCAGCCAUGCCGCGUGUGUGAAGAAGGCCCUCGGGUUGUAAAGCACUUUCAGUGAGGAAGAACGCCUGGUGGUUAAUACCCAUCAGGAAAGACAUCACUCACAGAAGAAGCACCGGCUAACUCCGUGCCAGCAGCCGCGGUAAUACGGAGGGUGCGAGCGUUAAUCGGAAUUACUGGGCGUAAAGCGCGCGUAGGUGGCUUGAUAAGCCGGUUGUGAAAGCCCCGGGCUCAACCUGGGAACGGCAUCCGGAACUGUCAAGCUAGAGUGCAGGAGAGGAAGGUAGAAUUCCCGGUGGAGCGGUGAAAUGCGUAGAGAUCGGGAGGAAUACCAGUGGCGAAGGCGGCCUUCUGGACUGACACUGACACUGAGGUGCGAAAGCGUGGGUAGCAAACAGGAUUAGAUACCCCUGUAGUC
rnacentral:rRNA from 1 species